AAUACCAAUUACUAAAAUAAGGCUUAGGCAUAGUUAUAUACUUUAAUUCAGUCACGGACCCGCGAUAUCACGGGUGUGUACUUGUAAUACUUAUGUAUGGAUGAUGUUCACCCUCCUCAGUGUUAACAUCUUUUAAAUGAAUGGAACAGCCAAUUUUAUCAUUUAAAAUGAUGAUAAAAGUAAUUGCAAUCUAUCUUUUUUAUUAUACCCCCGCUUUAAAAAAGGGGGGGUAUACUGUUUUACCUCUGUCUGUCAGUCCGUCCGUCCGUCAGUCCGUCCAUCAGUCCGUCCGUCCGUCAGUCCGUCCAUCAGUCCGUCAGUCCGUCAGUCAGUCCGUCCCAUGAAACUUUCGUCACAUUUUUCUCAGGAACUACACAUC
rnacentral:lncRNA from 1 species